rnacentral:tRNA from 4 species
CGGGGUGUGGCGCAGUUGGCUAGCGUACUUGCAUGGGGUGCAAGGGGUCGUGAGUUCGAGUCUCACCACUCCGACAA